ACGGGUGAGUAACGCGUGGGUAACCUACCCUGUACACACGGAUAACAUACCGAAAGGUAUGCUAAUACGGGAUAAUAUAUUUGAGAGGCAUCUCUUAAAUAUCAAAGGUGAGCCAGUACAGGACGGACCCGCGUCUGAUUAGCUAGUUGGUAAGGUAACGGCUUACCAAGGCAACGAUCAGUAGCCGACCUGAGAGGGUGAUCGGCCACAUUGGAACUGAGACACGGUCCAAACUCCUACGGGAGGCAGCAGUGGGGAAUAUUGCACAAUGGGCGAAAGCCUGAUGCAGCAACGCCGCGUGAGUGAUGAAGGCCUUCGGGUCGUAAAACUCUGUCCUCAAGGAAGAUAAUGACGGUACUUGAGGAGGAAGCCCCGGCUAACUACGUGCCAGCAGCCGCGGUAAUACGUAGGGGGCUAGCGUUAUCCGGAUUUACUGGGCGUAAAGGGUGCGUAGGCGGUCUUUCAAGUCAGGAGUGAAAGGCUACGGCUCAACCGUAGUAAGCUCUUGAAACUGGGAGACUUGAGUGCAGGAGAGGAGAGUGGAAUUCCUAGUGUAGCGGUGAAAUGCGUAGAUAUUAGGAGGAACACCAGUUGCGAAGGCGGCUCUCUGGACUGUAACUGACGCUGAGGCACGAAAGCGUGGGGAGCAAACAGGAUUAGAUACCCUGGUAGUCCACGCUGUAAACGAUGAGUACUAGGUGUCGGGGGUUACCCCCUUCGGUGCCGCAGCUAACG
rnacentral:rRNA from 1 species